GACAGAGGGUGCAAACGUUGUUCGGAAUUACUGGGCGUAAAGCGCGUGUAGGCGGCCCUGUAAGUCGGAUGUGAAAUCCCACGGCUCAACCGUGGAAGUGCAUUCGAAACUACAGGGCUAGAGUCCUGGAGAGGAAGGUGGAAUGCUUGGUGUAGAGGUGAAAUUCGUAGAUAUCAAGCGGAACACCGGUGGCGAAGGCGGCCUUCUGGACAGUGACUGACGCUGAGACGCGAAAGCGGUGGGGAGCAAACAGGG
rnacentral:rRNA from 1 species